UGGAAGUAAAAGUCGUAACAAGGUCUCCGUAGGUGAACCUGCGGAGGGAUCAUUACACAAAUAUGAAGGCGGGCUGGAACCUCUCGGGGUUACAGCCUUGCUGAAUUAUUCACCCUUGUCUUUUGCGUACUUCUUGUUUCCUUGGUGGGUUCGCCCACCACUAGGACAAACAUAAACCUUUUGUAAUUGCAAUCAGCGUCAGUAACAAAUUAAUAAUUACAACUUUCAACAACGGAUCUCUUGGUUCUGGCAUCGAUGAAGAACGCAGCGAAAUGCGAUAAGUAGUGUGAAUUGCAGAAUUCAGUGAAUCAUCGAAUCUUUGAACGCACAUUGCGCCCUUUGGUAUUCCAAAGGGCAUGCCUGUUCGAGCGUCAUUUGUACCCUCAAGCUUUGCUUGGUGUUGGGCGUCUUGUCUCUAGCUUUGCUGGAGACUCGCCUUAAAGUAAUUGGCAGCCGGCCUACUGGUUUCGGAGCGCAGCACAAGUCGCACUCUCUAUCAGCAAAGGUCUAGCAUCCAUUAAGCC
rnacentral:rRNA from 1 species